rnacentral:lncRNA from 1 species
AAACAGUGGUUUCUUGAGAUGGAAUCUACUCCUUGUGAAGAUGCUGUGAACAUUGUUGAAAUGACAGCAAAGGAUUUAGAAUAUUCCAUAAACUUAGUUGAUAAAGCAGUGCCAGGGUUUGAGAGGACCGACUCCAAUUUUGGAGGAAGUUUUACCGUGGGUAAAAUGCUAUCAGCAUUGCACACUACAGAGAAGUCCAUCACUAAAAGACUAGUCAAUUGGGUGUGGCAAACUUCAUUGUUGUCUUAUUUGAAGAAAUUGCCACAGCCACCCAAACCUCAGCAACCACCACCCUGAUCAGUCUGCAACCAUCAACAUUGAAUCAAGACCUUCCAGCAGGAAAAAGACCAAAACUUGCUGAAGGCUUAGAUGAUUGUUAGCAUUUGUUAGCAAAAAAAGUAUUUUUAAAUUAAGGUAUGUACAUUAUUUUUAUAGACAGAAUGCUAUUGCACACUUAAUAGGCUACAGUAUAGUUUAAACAUAACUUUUAUAUGCACUGGGAAACCAAAAAAUGUGUGUGACUCACUUUAUUGUGAUAUUUGCUUUAUUGCAGUGGUCUGGAACCAAACCCACAAUAUCUUUGAGGUCUGCCUGUACGAGAACUGGGUGGUGGGAAAAGUGGGGCUUGUUUUUCCUUUCUUUGUAUUCACUGUAGGUGUGAAAUGUUUGACAAUUUGACAGUCUGUGACAUGGUUCACAGAUGUGGUUCCUGCAUGUUAUCAGGGCUUGGCCAGGUUCAGGCAGGCCUGCAGGCUGUCCCUACAACGGGCAGAUUGAAGUGUGCACAGAUGUCCGUGACAGGGCUGUGACCAGCCUGUGAUCAGGCUGUGACCAGGUUGCUGCCUGGACCAGGCAGAGCUUUGUCCCAUAAUAGGGGUGCUGCCAGGGAGUCUGGCACCUGGAGCACAGCCACUGGCUUGGACAUGAGCCAUCAAACAGCAUGGAAUAAAAAUAGAACUGCUUCAGCCGGAGAGGAGACAGGCUGAGCUCCUUGCUGGGAGGCCUUUAAAACAAGAACAGGUUUCAUUGAUCUGAGACUAGGUAAGGAUGCUGCCACGAGUCAGGAAGGAGUCGAAGUCAUCUGUCCUGGUACCUGGAAGUGCCUGAACAUGAUGGGCCUGGGUGGUUAUUAUUCUUCUCAUCAGCUGGCACUGUAACUUUAGGUGACAAAGAAGACAAGGAAGACAAGGAAGGUGAUCCGGGAGGCUGGAGAGCUUGUCAAGGUCACAGACCCACGGUUUUCCGCCCCCUAGGGUCCAAGCUCUUUCCUGGACAUCUGCAGGCAAUGUCGACACGCCCUCCAGUGUCUGUGGCGGGCAAAGGAUGUGUCUCCACCCCCAGACCUUCCGAUCCUGUGCUGAAAGUGUCCCUCAGCCUGUUUCCUGAGAAGCCCAGGGGCUUUUGGCUUGUUACUUUUUCUUUCUCUUGAAGUAAACAGAAUAAAAGAGAGUUGCUCAGACGUCUUUGGCUGUGACCCACAGGAGAUGAUGCAAUCUCCACGGCACCCCCACAUGCAUGUGUAUGCACAGGCGUGUACAGAUAUCUAAAACUGGCACCAAUUUCACAAAAACACUCACCCUUAUGCGAGACACAUUCACCCUACACUCAUCCCCCAUCUCUACAGAAAAUUAAAGUAUACAUUCAUAGUUGCUGUAUUCAUGCAUGUACAGAUGUAUGUACAUUUAUUCAUGUAUGUGUAUAACUUAUGCCAUUUU